rnacentral:rRNA from 1 species
GAUGAACGCUGGCGGCGUGCCUAAUACAUGCAAGUCGAACGCUUCACUUCGGUGAAGAGUGGCGAACGGGUGAGUAAUACAUAAGUAACCUGGCAUCUACAGGGGGACAACUGAUGGAAACGUCAGCUAAGACAACAUAGGUGUAGAGAUCGCAUGAACUCUAUAUGAAAAGUGCUACGGGACUGGUAGAUGAUGGACUUAUGGCGCAUUAGCUGGUUGGGAGGGUAAGGGCCUAGCAAGGCGACGAUGCGUAGCCGAGCUGAGAGGGUGACCGGCAACACUGGGACUGAUACACGGUCCAGACUCCUACGGGAGGCAGCGGUAGGGAAUUUUCGGCAAUGGGGGAAACCCUGACCGAGCAAAGCCGCGUGAAGGAAGAAGUAAUUCGUUAUGUAAACUUCUGUCAUAGAGGAAGAACGGUGGAUAUAGGGAAUGAUAUCCAAGUGACGGUACUCUAUAAGAAAGCCACGGCUAACUACGUGCCAGCCGCCGCUGUAA